rnacentral:ncRNA from 1 species
GAGAGCUUUUUGCGGGGAAACUUGCAAGUAUAAUUUUGGGGGAGGUGGGCGUCGACCCUAC